CAGAACGAAAGCAUACUAAAUCACUGAAAGUGAAAGUAGGAGUACAAAGAUACUACAGGAAAAUCAUUCUACAUAUGAUAGUCUACUUGGGUCUCGUAGCAGCACGUAGAUCUACAGUAAUCCUGGCACCCCAGCAGGGAGGCUGGGAAGUCCCUUGGGACGUGCUGGUUGUGCCCAUGACUCAGACACCAACACCAGCAAUGAGGACCAGGGGGCCCGCUGCAAGGAGAAGCCCAGAAGCAAGAGUCUUAUAUUCACCCUCAAAAGAAGUAUCAAAGAUUCAUCAGGAAGUAGACAGUAAGCAGCCUUUGUGCAACACCUGAAUGCAAGCUAAGUAAAUAAAAGGAACAUAAGAAAUAUAGUAGGUCA
rnacentral:lncRNA from 1 species